UACGUAGGGUGCGAGCGUUGCCCGGAUUUAUUGGGCGUAAAGGGCGCGUAGGCGGCCACGCACGUCCGUUGUGAAAUCGCCCGGCUCAACUGGGCGGGGUCGGCGGAUACGGCGUGGCUGGAGCAAGCUAGGGGGCAAUGGAAUUCCCGGUGUAGUGGUGGAAUGCGUAGAUAUCGGGAGGAACACCAGUGGCGAAGGCGGUUGCCUGGAGCUUUGCUGACGCUGAGGCGCGCAAGCGUGGGGAGCAAACAGG
rnacentral:rRNA from 1 species